rnacentral:rRNA from 1 species
ACGGGAGGCAGCAGUGGGGAAUAUUGCACAAUGGGGGAAACCCUGAUGCAGCGACGCCGCGUGAGUGAAGAAGUAUUUCGGUAUGUAAAGCUCUAUCAGCAGGGAAGAAAAUGACGGUACCUGACUAAGAAGCACCGGCUAAAUACGUGCCAGCAGCCGCGGUAAUACGUAUGGUGCAAGCGUUAUCCGGAUUUACUGGGUGUAAAGGGAGCGUAGACGGCGAGGCAAGUCUGAAGUGAAAUGCGGGGGCUCAACCCCUGAACUGCUUUGGAAACUGUUUUGCUAGAGUGCAGUAGAGGUAAGUGGAAUUCCUAGUGUAGCGGUGAAAUGCGUAGAUAUUAGGAGGAACACCGGCGGCGAAGGCGGCUUACUGGACUGUAACUGACGUUGAGGCUCGAAAGCGUGGGGAGCAAACAGGAUUAGAUACCCUGGUA